GUUGGUGCUUAUAGCGAGAUGGGUACACCUCUUCCCAUUCCGAACAGAGAAGUUAAGCAUCUCAGUGUCGAUGAUACUUGGGCCAAAAGGCCCCGGGAAAGUAGAGCGGCGCCAACA
rnacentral:rRNA from 1 species